UAAUACCGGAUGCUUGUUUGAACCGCAUGGUUCAAACAUAAAAGGUGGCUUCGGCUACCCUUACAGAUGGACCCGCGGCGCAUUAGCUAGUUGGUGAGGUAACGGCUCACCAAGGCAACGAUGCGUAGCCCACCUGAGAGGGUGAUCGGCCACACUGGGACUGAGACACGGCCCAGACUCCUACGGGAGGCAGCAGUAGGGAAUCUUCCGCAAUGGACGAAAGUCUGACGGAGCAACGCCGCGUGAGUGAUGAAGGUUUUCGGAUCGUAAAGCUCUGUUGUUAGGGAAGAACAAGUACCGUUCGAAUAGGGCGGUACCUUGACGGUACCUAACCAGAAAGCCACGGCUAACUACGUGCCAGCAGCCGCGGUAAUACGUANGUGGCAAGCGUUGUCCGGAAUUAUUGGGCGUAAAGGGCUCGCAGGCGGUUUCUUAAGUCUGAUGUGAAAGCCCCCGGCCAACCGGGGAGGGUCAUUGGAAACUGGGGAACUUUGGAGUCAGAAGAAGGAGAGUGGAAUUCCACGUGUAGCGGUGAAAUGCGUAAAGAUGUGGAGGAACCCCACUGGCGAAGGCGACUCCUCUGGGUCUGUAACUGAC
rnacentral:rRNA from 1 species